UGAGAAUUAUAAAGGAUGUUGGAAUAUUUCUUAACCAUCAUAUUAAACGAAUCAGUAAGUUUAUAAUAGAAGGAAGUGAAAAAUAGAUAUUGUUGUAAUGAUUCAUGUAAAAGCUAUGCAUUAAAGAAAAAAUAAAAAAUAUAACUUGUAAUUUGCUUUGUGUUUGAAUGGUAGCUUUAAUUUGUGGUAAUUACAAAACUUCUGAUUAAAUAAAUUUAUGUUUAUCUCUUUCAGCAAAAUUUAUAACGUUGACAUCAGGAGUAAAAUUGCUUCUAUAUGAUGGAUAUACGUUUUCGAAAGCCAAACCCAGUGAGAAGACGCAAAUUUAUAACGUUGAUGUCAUGUCAAGGAGUAAAAGUGCUUCUAUAUAAUGGAUAUUGUUCGAAAACCAAAGGCGGUGAGACAUAAAUGUUCUUGUGCUAUUACAAGUAGCUGUAACGUUCGGUUCGACUUUGAUAAUAUGAUGGUGUGUGUAUAAGAGACUCAUCAUCAUUUAUCACUCAGUUACCAGUUGACAAAACUGGAGCAUAUAUCCGUUGACGAGGAAUAAGAGGUCAUUGGUUGUAGAAGAUCUUCCAAUACUGAGAAGAGUCGUCUGAAAUCAACAAUUACCGAAAGACUCGAUGUUUCUUUCUUACCUAUCUAUAUAUUAGAUAGGUGAUACAUUUGGGUGCUUUUUAGAAACGCCCUAACAAUGUUAAAUAUAUAAUAUAAACGAUUGGGUUAGCCUGAACUUAAUGUGAUAUACUUUAUUUUAAAAUUGUUUUAGUUACACGGUAAAUAAAUAUUGUUAUAAAUAA